AACGAACGCUGGCGGCAGGCCUAACACAUGCAAGUCGAACGCCCGUAGCAAUACGGGAGUGGCAGACGGGUGAGUAACGCGUGGGAACGUGCCCUUCGGUUCGGAAUAACUCAGGGAAACUUGAGCUAAUACCGGAUACGUCCGUAAGGAGAAAGAUUUAUCGCCGAAGGAUCGGCCCGCGUCGGAUUAGCUAGUUGGUGGGGUAAAAGACUCACCAAGGCGACGAUCCGUAGCUGGUCUGAGAGGAUGAUCAGCCACACUGGGACUGAGACACGGCCCAGACUCCUACGGGAGGCAGCAGUGGGGAAUAUUGGACAAUGGGCGAAAGCCUGAUCCAGCCAUGCCGCGUGAGUGAAGAAGGCCUUAGGGUUGUAAAGCUCUUUCAGCGGGGAAGAUAAUGACGGUACCCGCAGAAGAAGUCCCGGCUAACUUCGUGCCAGCAGCCGCAGUAAC
rnacentral:rRNA from 1 species